GUGUCUGAGGACCAACUUAGACCAAGGACCCAUUGUACUAGGCAUUGCCCUAACAAAAGGAGCAGACAGUUGGUCUCAUGGAACUUUAGAGUUCAACCACUCAAGACAGACAAAAGGUCCACACACCUGAUCCUAAAUAAAAGACUGUGGGAGAGCUCAAGUCAUUUCCAGUCUCUGCUCUCCAACUCAAGUAGCUGAGUCUCCUAAAGCAAGCUGCCAUCUCCCCAAGAAAAAUGAAGAGAUUCCACACCCCUACAUUACUCCAGACAAGGGUCUCUUGUGAUUUUUAUCAACUGCACAACUCUGGGUCAUGUAAAUAAAGACUAAAUUGUAUAAAUUCUCCA